CCCAGGAUAGCCAGAGCCUAAGGAGUCGGCUUAGCAGCAGGAAGAACUUUAUCACAGCUUAUUUGGGCCUCCCAGAGGUAAAUUGAAAGGCUGCGAGGAAACAACUGAAGUCCCUACCUAAUCCUACACCCAUCCCAAGGGAGUAUGGGUAGAAGGACAGGGGACAGAAUCAGAAGGACUUCACAACCCAGGAGUAAAGGAGAAAAGCCGGUUCCCAGGCAACAGCUAGGUCAGUCAGUAGCUGAAAGACCCCCAAGGCAGCUGUAGAUCUCUGUUCUUCGCCUGAGUCUCUCAAGCCGGCAAACGGGAAGCUCUGCAAUACCAGAGGGGGCCGCUAGGGAGUGCUCGCCAACAGCCAGGCUCCAGAAAGGAAGGAGCCGGCCAAGCCAAGAAGACCGGAAGGCAAUCGAUCAGAGUCGCCCUGGCAACCGGGCUGAGCCCGAGACAGACAGCACGUCGAUAAUGAAAUCAUCGUUAAAUGACUUCAAGCCCUAAUUAAUAAUCCAGGCCAACCGAGGCCAUGCCUGACUGGGGUCGGGGGAGGGGAUGUCAUUGUUGGGGGAGCACUGGAAGCUUCUGGACAAUUAAUCAAUUAAUCCACUCACUCAAUAAUUGGCUCCUUUGUCCUCUGUCAUGCCCCCUCCCCCACCUCAUCCACCUCUGACUGUGGAGAGGGGAAGAAGAAAUGUGGGGCUAAUAGUUUCCAAGGGCCACAGUUCUUUGCUCUCCCCUCCUUUUUUUCCACACAUCUGUUUCCUGAGCCAGCUCACAAAAGCUUCCCUAAGUCAGGACUUGCCUGCGCUCUUCCACAGGACCUACCAAAGAGUGAACAUUUCAGGACCCGGAGUCCCCUGCUAUCCAGGGGGCGAGGAACGCGGCUGUGCGGAGGAGCGGAAUCUUCUCAGCAGCGACCUGCGAAGGGCUCAGCGGCCACAGGAGGGCGGCAGAGAACAGUGCUCCCUACAGAUCCAGACAUCGGCCCUGGAUGCUGUCUGGAAUCCAGGCAAGGCCAGGCUGGGCUGCCCUAGGCUGGGGACGUCUUUAGCUCGAGCAAGAACCUAUGAAUUUCUGAAUUCAGGAAUCCUUGCAUCCCAUCUCAAGCUCUCUAGUCCCUGAAAUGCCAUCGCCCUCCUUCGCCUCCCUUCCAUUUCUGGUUCUAGCACUGGGGCUGCUGGCACAGAAGGACCCUGUGGCUUUUCCUUCAUGGUAUAGCAGAUAACACCCACGGUCCUCCGUGACAUUCCCUGGGGUCCCAGAUGAUAACUGGGGCCAGAACUAGAACCCAUGACUUCUUGGUUCUCAGCGCAGGGGUCAUCCCGUUGUGUCAGCUGCAGCUCCUGAAAAACACCAUACCCUACAGGCCACAACCAGACAGCAUCUCAAACCCCUGGCUUAAACAAUCAAUGUCAAAGCUACUGUGUUCUGUAUGUUUACAUAUGGAACUGGUGCAUACAAGACUGUUAACCCAGAACACACAUGUGUGCUGUAGCUACCUGGCUGUACACCCUUCAUCCUCAGGUACAUGACCCUCUGUCCCUUCUCUUCCUACUUUCUGAACUGCAAAAGAAGCUUCUCUUCAUUUAUAAUUUGGGCUUUUCACUGUAGUUUCAGAAACUCCUCGAAGCUGUAGACACAGAAGUCCUUUCCCAGUUCUAACCUUGGUCCAUCCUACCACAGCCCUUUACACCUGGAGAAGAGGACCUGCACAUGAUCUUCAGCUCUCUCUUCCCGGGUAUCCCUCACCUGGUCCUGUCACUGCUUCUUGCCUCUCCUGUCCCUCUGCUGACCAACCUAUGCCUCCCCCAGAUUCUUCUUGCUGCCACUGGUUCUCCUUUCAUCUCAAAAGCUGAGCCACCCAGGGAGGUGGGCACAGAAAAGAGAAAAGAAGAAAGGUAGGAGGGAUUGGGAAGAAAAUCUGUCUACAAGUCAGAAGAGGACUCUGUCCCUGCCCCCUUUACUCUCAGCUGGUAAGUUCUACUUAGAGUCUGACAUCAGUCCUCUGGCUAGUCCUCACUUUAUCUACUCUCCUUAAAGCUAAAGAGCUACAGAAGCUGAGAGUAAAUGAGGAGAAAUGGAUCCAGUUGUGUCGGGUAUAUGUGCAAGCUUGUAGACUGACAGCCUGAGUGUGUGUAUACACUUGCAUCACACACCACCCCUUCCCCAUUGUCGCCCCCACACACACGUAUUCCAUGCCAUCCCCAAUCUAGGAUUCCUCCUAUAAAACAAGAGGAGAAAAACAUCCCAACCUCUCAAACAUUUUAUUCUAACUUUGAUCCUCCAAGGGAAACCUAAAAAGACAACAGCCUCCCCCUCUGUUUCCCCCUCCCCAUGUCCUUGUCCACUCUGGUUUUUGAGAUUUCUUCUUAAACCCUGUGGGGUGCAGCCCCUACAUACCUUCCCCAGAAUCCAGGAGGCACUAGAGCCUCCUCCCUGCAAAGGACUGAGACAAACGCCAAUCACGUUGGGGCCUCUCACAGUGCCCAUUCUGCUAUGAAUUCCCAAGGUCAAAACCAUUCUGGUGUUAUUAAAAACAUAAAUGUUGCAUACCAGGCAGCGGGGGGAAAAAUUAUAAGGCAGCCAGACGAGAGGGAGAUGGAGGGGCCAGUAAUUGUCUUCGUCUUCCCAGAGUCAAGCUCCACGGGGCUGGAGCCGCACGCAGAACAUUGCUUUUUAAUUUAACUCAGUAAGGUCAGCAGCAGCAAAUGAGGCAGGGGAGGAAUGGCACCUCAGAGGGAGGGCACCAGGGCCUGCAGAACCGGGGCUCCUGGCCAAGAUCUCCAAGAAGUGCCAGGGGAAGCUGAGGGAGAAUGGCAGGGAGGAUUCGGUGACCCUUGGCUCACCAGAGAAGGGAGCUGGACUGAGGGGGAGUGAUAUAGGAACUCCAAGAAUCAUUAUAAGAGCUUCUGAGAGCCUGGGAUUUAAGUGGAAAGAAAGAAUAAGGCUUCAGAGGGACUGUAAGUGAGACCAGAAUGCCUGAUAGAGACAAAUACCCCCUUCACUUUCCACAGUACCCACUCUACAGAGGAGAAUAACAAGGUUCAUGGUUGGAACUCAGAAGUUCUCCUUUCCCCCAGUACCUGUGAAUCCUGGAGUCCAAGUGGAGAGAAUUCUCCAGUGAGGUGGGCCACUCUGUCGCAUCCCCUUCAUCUCAAGGAUGCAAGGGGGCAGGGGAGAGGAAAAUGGCAGGAGAAACUGAGGCAGAGCUGCCCUCCCUCAGAACCUUCCUCAUCUUCCCCACCUUUUUAGGGUCCCAGCUUCCCAUCUGCAGCUCAGAUAGCUGUAUGGUGGUUCUCUCCAUUUCCAGUGCUAUAGGAAGGAUUGAAGUUAGACCAGAGAAGGGACUUCCCAGAUCAGCAUCUUGGUCAUAGGCACAACCCAGGAUAGGGUAGAAAGGCUAAGGAACCUGGGAUUUUCUGAAUAGGACCAAUGAACUGAGCAUGAUGGGAUUAAUGAGGCUGGAGAAGGUGGGAGACUCACUGACUGGGGGUGGAGAGCAGCUGUGAAAAAGCCGUGCAACAGUCACAGGCAGUAGCAUCCAAAUACACUUUGGGACUUACUGGAACUUCUGCAGAUCAGACCUCAGAUCCUCCUGCUUCAGUUUCAGGAUGAAACUGUUAGGAGUUUCAUCCUGUUGCCCUGUUAGGGUUUUUGUUUUUGUUUUAGGGAAGGAGGAUUAAAACAAUAGGUUUGAGACUGAAGGACAGAGUUUUAAUUCUCUGUCUCCAUCCCUAAGUGUCCUUGAUACUUGGCAGGUUUCUACUUCCAUGUCAGUCAGGAAUUAGGAGACCCCAAUGUCAAUUUGGAAAUCUGAAGUUUGCUACCCUCAUAAUGUACACCCCUGCCAUCAUCUCCCUUUCCGGAAGGUCUCACUCUCAGCGCUGGGACCCCAACCCUGCAGUUCUCCGUAUCUGCCACAAGGUGGCGGCCAAAGCAUCGAUUGAUCCAGAGCUAGACCUGGUGCCUCACUAGAGCCAGGACCCUGGCCUCCACCCAGUCUCCAUUCACCCCUUCCCCACCUGGGAUCUGCCAACCCCGAGGGACCCAGGAAAGGAGAAACUUUCUGGAAGAACUCCAGCUCUUCGGAUAAAUGGGCUGGGUGAGGACUGGGUGGGAGAAGGAAAGGGAAGGUGCAAGGGAAACCAGAGAAACACAAACCUGGAGGGCUUCAGUGGGGGAGCAGGCAGUCAGGUGUGGUGAGAAGCCCAAGCUGAGAAUCACAGUGGCUGCCUGCCACUGCCCGCACCACACCCAGCACCCCAGGGGCUCCAGCACAGCAGCCCAGAGCUGUUAACUUGCCCAGAGGCAACCAGAGCAGAAGGAGUACCAGGAGCUGGGAUGCAGGGAGCCUACACCAGAGUAAGCCACCAAGAUCCAGUCAGGGAAAGGGUCGGCACCACCUCUUCCUCAUCAGUAUGAGACCAUGAGACCCGGUGGGACUCCGUUAUCCCUGCUAUUCCCAGAAAACGUUAAACAGGGAAGGGUUCAGUCAGUCUCCCCUGCAGUACUGAUUCUCCUGGUGCGGGAAGAGGGUCCUGGGAGACAGGAAAGAAGAAAGAAGGCAGAUCCCUAGAGAGAAGAAAAAACAGCCCUGCUCACAGGGAGGUGCCAGUAUGUGGGGACCAGGAAAGAGAAUAGGAAGAGGCCUGCAAGCACCUUGGCAGUGGUUUCUAAAGGAAACGUCUGGGAUCCCGAACCAGGAGGAUCAGUCAAGGAGGGCUUCCUAGAGGAGGACAGUAUGGGGCAAUCUUGUAAAAUGCUGAGAGGCUGGUCUGGAAAAAGGAGACAGAAGAUAGUUCAGGCUGAAGACAGACUAUAUGUAUGAAAUUGUUUGGGGUCAGGGGACAACUAAAUCUCUGGAUGGCUGCUCAGGUGGAGCUUAGAGACCACGCCACCCUGCAGUGGGAGAAUGGGGAGUUGAAGGAACAGACAUGGUGCAUGUGAGGCAAUGAGGCCUCAAGACCCAGCUGGCAUGGCUGGGCAGCACCCGGGCCCAGCUGAAUAUUCCUCCCUCUCCCCCACCCCCAUAUAGCCAGGAGAAUAGGAACAAAAUGUAGGAUCCUCCAAAUAGGGCACAAGAAGGACUCCUAGACCAGGAGUCAGGGGCCUGGGUUUUUCAGAAGCAACCACUGCAUAGCAGGGGACGCUGGGUAAGUCUUCCCAUCUCUGAGGACUCUGGCUGCUGUCUGUACAGGCUGAUACUGAUGCUCUCUGACCUCCCUUUUCUGAGACUGUCCUGUUGAUGACUGCCCUCCUCCCAAAUAAUGGUCUGACUCAUCUGUGAACUGCCAGGCUUUAGUCCUCCUUCUCUCGGUGUCCGUAUACUCCAGACACACUCCUCCAUCCAGAAGAAAUUACUCCAUUGCUGUGGUGGGGGAAUGGAGGUGCAACACCCUAUUUUCAUGAAAUUACCCUGGCCUAUUGGGCAUCAAACAUGACAAGAGGAUCUGAAGUUAGACUCAAGGAAGAACGUCCUAGCACAAGUGGCCUGAAAACCUCAGCUUGUGUGAAAUGCAGUAAGAAUAUAUACUAG
rnacentral:lncRNA from 1 species